rnacentral:rRNA from 1 species
GACGAACGCUGGCGGCGUGCUUAACACAUGCAAGUCGAACGGAAUGGCCCUUCUUUUGUUGGGUUCUCGUGUGGCGAACGUGUGUGUAACACGUGAGUAACCUGCCCUUGCCUUUGGGAUCACUUCAGGAAACUUGCUCUUAUACCGUAUUGUAGCACCUGCUCCUUGUUUGGUUUUGAAAACUUUCGGCGGUUGGGGAUGGCUUUGCGGCUGAUCAGCUUGUUGGUGGGGUAGUGGCUUACCAAGGCUUUGACGGGUAGCCGGCCUGAGAGGGUGAACGGGCAAAUAGGGAAUGAGGUACGGGCCAGAAUCCUACGGGGGGGAGGAGUGGGGAAAAUUGGAAAAUGGGAGGGAGAGUGAGGCAGAAACGCCGCGUGCGGGAUGACGGGCUUCGGGUUAUAAAACGCGUUCGCAGGUGACGAAGAGUAAGUGACGGUAAUGGGUAAAGAAGCAACGGCUAAAUACGUG